rnacentral:lncRNA from 1 species
UAACCCCAACUAAAGAAACCACCCAAUUUUUUUUUAAAGAUCAGAACCAGUGGUUGGCCCUACUGUACCUAGAUCCAACUAUCAGGAUCCAACAUAUAGGCAUGGACCAUACCAUCAGUUUCAAAAUGCUUCGUAACCAUCUACCACUGGUCAUAGCUCAGCUUUCGAGGAGAAGGUUCUGAAAGUGCUAGAACGAUUAGAAGUCAACACCC